GCAUGGUCUGGUGGUGGAAAGAUUUUUUGGUUGGGGAUGGACUCGCGGCCUAUCAGCUUGUUGGUGAGGUAAUGGCUCACCAAGGCGACGACGGGUAGCCGGCCUGAGAGGGUGACCGGCCACACUGGGACUGAGACACGGCCCAGACUCCUACGGGAGGCAGCAGUGGGGAAUAUUGCACAAUGGGCGAAAGCCUGAUGCAGCAACGCCGCGUGAGGGAUGACGGCCUUCGGGUUGUAAACCUCUUUUAGUAGGGAAGAAGCGAAAGUGACGGUACCUGCAGAAAAAGCACCGGCUAACUACGUGCCAGCAGCCGCGGUAAUACGUAGGGUGCAAGCGUUGUCCGGAAUUAUUGGGCGUAAAGAGCUCGUAGGCGGUUUGUCGCGUCUGCUGUGAAAUCCCGAGGCUCAACCUCGGGCUUGCAGUGGGUACGGGCAGACUAGAGUGCGGUAGGGGAGAUUGGAAUUCCUGGUGUAGCGGUGGAAUGCGCAGAUAUCAGGAGGAACACCGAUGGCGAAGGCAGAUCUCUGGGCCGUUACUGACGCUGAGGAGCGAAAGCGUGGGGAGCGAACAGGAUUAGAUACCCUGGUAGUCCACGCCGUAAACGUU
rnacentral:rRNA from 1 species